UACGUAGGGAGCAAGCGUUGUCCGGAAUCAUUGGGCGUAAAGCGCGCGUAGGUGGCUUCGUAAGUCCGUUGUGAAAGUCAAAGGCUCAACCUUUGAAAGCCGAUGGAUACUGUGAAGCUAGAGUACGGAAGAGGCGAGUGGAAUUCCUGGUGUAGCGGUGAAAUGCGCAGAUAUCAGGAAGAACACCCGUGGCGAAGGCGGCUCUCUGGGACGGUACUGACGCUGAGACGCGAAAGCGUGGGGAGCGAACAGG
rnacentral:rRNA from 1 species